GAUGAACGCUGGCGGCGUGCUUAACACAUGCAAGUCGAACGAUGAAGCCCAGCUUGCUGGGUGGAUUAGUGGCGAACGGGCGAGUAACACGUGAGUAACCUGCCCUUAACUCUGGGAUAAGCCUGGGAAACUGGGUCUAAUACCGGAUAGGAGCGCCUACCGCAUGGUGGGUGUUGGAAAGAUUUAUCGGUUUUGGAUGGACUCGCGGCCUAUCAGCUUGUUGGUGAGGUAAUGGCUCACCAAGGCGACGACGGGUAGCCGGCCUGAGAGGGUGACCGGCCACACGGGGACUGAGACACGGCGCAGACUCCUACGGGAGGCAGCAGUGGGGAAUAUUGCACAAUGGGCGAAAGCCUGAUGCAGCGACGCCGCGUGAGGGAUGACGGCCUUCGGGUUGUAAACCUCUUUCAGUAGGGAAGAAGCGAAAGUGACGGUACCUGCAGAAGAAGCACCGGCUAACUACGUG
rnacentral:rRNA from 1 species